UGAAAGCAGCUCCAUGUUAGAGGAGCAGGGCUUUAGUUCCUGUGGGAUUGGUCACACUCAGCUCGUCCUGUGUCAGUCACAGGUUUGGAAGAAACCCCGCUGUGUAGCUAAAGCAGUGGACCUACUAGAAAUAAUGAAAUACUUUAGAAAAGGCGAAACAGUCAGAUCAGAAUAUGAGAAAGCUCUGCUGUUGGCUGCACUGUUCCUUAGAUGAGGCGAGUAGGUGCUGAUGGAGUCUGUCCUGUGUCUGGGAUCCACAAGCAGCUUUCUGUCCCCUUAGAGCAGGUGUUCAUUGCUGGGUUUCUGUGCAGAUAGAAACCUUACCUUUAGCAAGCUGCUGUGCUGUGUGUGCCUGCAGGUAAGAAAAGCUGGGAGUGCAGUCCCUCUGCUUUGAUUGCUGUGUCCCUUUGGUAGUGAUUUUGGAGGGGAAUCCCAGAGCCAUUUGGUUUGAAGGGGACCUUCAAAGGCCAGCCUGUCUUCCGUGGGCAGGGACACCUUCCACUGUCCCCGGUUGCUCCGAGUCCCGUCCAGCCUGGCCUGGAACACGUGCAGGGAUGGGGCAGGCUCAGCUUCCCUGUGCAGUGUGCUCUAAUAUCUCUCCACUGGCAUCCUGAAAAAUGUUGUCAGCGUGUUUUGUUGGCCGACGGUAAGCAGGACCUGGGUGAAAAGGACAUUCUCUGAGGUGCUGGGAGAAGGAGGACUCGUGCGGGCACCUCCAGAGACAGCGGGAACGGGAGCGUGCUGCGGAGAAGGAAAAUUCCAGGGGAAUUGCCACGAGAGGAAAUACCUCAGAGGGGCUUCCCUCCAGAUAAGCCCUGAAUAUGCCAGGAGGUUUCAGCCGGGAGGAAAGGAGCUGUGGAAGAAAAGCAGCCUAAAAAUAGCCAGCGGGGAUCAUCAGGUUUUCCAGCCAAGAAGAACAAGGAGAGAGAUGAGGGAAUCGGGUUCCAAUUCCUAAUGAUUUGGUGGGUGCAGGAAUGAUUUGUGUGUGUUUUCCAGUCCCUUUUGAUUCCUGAGAUGAUUUGAAAAUGAUGGCUUUAGCAAUCAACUAAAUCGGAGGUGUUGUUUUUGAGAGGAAAUGAUGCCAAAUAAAUGCAGAGUUUUGGGUCAGUUUUUGGGAUGAUUUGAGUCAGUUUUUGGGGUCAGUUUGGGGUCAUUGUUUGGGGUGAUUUGGGUCAGUUUUGGGUCAGCUUUUGGGGUGAUUGGGGUCAGUUUUGGGUCAGCUUUUGGGAUGAUUUGGGUCAGGUUUUGGGGUCAGUUUUGGGUCAGCUUUUGGGGUGAUUUGGGUCGGUUUGGGGUCAAUUUUUGGGGAGCACUGGGUGUUACUGGGGGUUGUUGGGGAGCACUGGGUGUUUACUGGGGAGCACUGGG